rnacentral:miRNA from 1 species
UAUUAGGCUGGUGCAAAAGUAAUUGCGGUUUUUGCCAUUACUUUAAUGUUUUUAAUUAAAAGUAAAGGCAAAAACCACAAUUACUUUUGUGCCAAUCU